rnacentral:misc_RNA from 1 species
GGGGAUGGAGGAAAUGAUGUCAGCAUGAUUCAAGCAGCGAAUGUUGGAGUGGGAAUUGUGGGAAAAGAGGGUAAGCAGGCGUCCCUCGCCGCUGAUUUCUCCAUCACUCAGUUCAGUCACAUUGGUCGACUCCUGAUGGUGCACGGCAGAAACAGUUACAAACGUUCAGCUGCCCUCAGUCAGUUUGUCAUGCAUCGUGGCCUGAUCAUCUCAACAAUGCAGGCCGUAUUCUGCUCCGUGUUUUAUUUUGCGUCUAUUGCUCUAUUCCCGGGCUUUCUCAUGAUUGGCUAUGCCACCGUUUAUACAAUGUACCCAGUGUUUUCCCUGGUGCUUGACAAGGAUGUUUCCGCGGAAACAGCAAUGACCUAUCCAGAACUGUAUAAAGAACUAGUCAAGGGGAGAUCACUUUCCUUUAAAACAUUUUUCCUGUGGGUUCUUAUUAGUAUAUAUCAAGGUGGUAUCAUUAUCUAUGGUGCUCUGUGGCUUUUUGACGAGGACUUUGUUCACGUGGUGUCCAUAACCUUCACUGCCCUGAUUCUGACAGAACUGCUGAUGGUUGCCUUGACGAUAAGAACCUGGCAUUGGGCCAUGGCUGUAGCUGAAGUGUUCAGUUUGGCAAUCUAUAUCGCUUCUCUCAUCGUUUUGCGGAAUUACUUUGAUGGGACCUUUCUGAGGACCUUUGACUUUAUAUGGAAAGUGGUGGCCAUUACGUCAGUUAGCUGUAUACCCCUGUAUAUCCUAAAGUACCUGCGCAAGAAGUUCUCUCCCCCUGUAUAUGCCAAAUUAACGUGAUGAACUUCUCAAUUCAGUUUCUUUUUGACCGAUUCAUUAAGUUACCGGUAUGUGUACGGUACAUUAUAAGGAAAUCACCAAACAAAAGUUAAUACUUGCCUCCAUGUGAAAUACUUGUGUAUUGUAUGUGUAUUCUGAGCUUAUUGGAUUUCUGAUCUCUAAUGUUAAGAAGUGAUCCCAGGGUGUUUCAAAACAUGUCCCAACUUUACCCUGUAGACUUCUCAACAGUUCUAGUUUUUAGUCAUUCCAGUUUACAAUAUUUACAUUCUGUAAGUGCUUUGCUUGAUGAAUGAUAUGUAAAACCAUGCAUUUAGUGCGAUUCUUUUAAUGAUGUCUUGUACAAUCAGUGCUCUGUCAAAUUUUUACUAAUGGAAACUAUCAGUCUUUCUGUGCAGUUCAAUUUUCUCUAUUGCUUAUAUUUCUUUUUGGUUUUUUUUUCUUUCCUUUUUUGUAUGUUUUACCGGUAUAUAUUAUUGAUGUUCAAGAACUUGAUGUUGGAUGGAUGUUCUUAAAGACGCAUGUCCAUAUCUUGGAUUACAGCAGUACAAUGUAUAAAUGAUUAAAAUAAUAACUCGGCUAUUACCUGUAGCACUUAUAUGGAUAUUAAAGUUUGUUUCAAAAUGAAAUGGUAAGAAAUUGAUAACUAAAAUAAAGUUAUAACUAAAAUAAAGUUGCUUUUGAAAUGGUAAUAAAUUUUUGACUACUUUUUCAAAAUUUUCUUUUAAAAUGAAGACCAACAUUCUGAUUUCUGUUUUAAGUAAAGCAAACUUUGGAUUCAAAACAAGUUGCAUACUAUCCACAGGGUCUAAAUGUUUACAGUUUCAUUGUCUAGAGCAGCCAGCCAUACUGGCACCUAUGUAAUAAGCCGAUUCAUUGAGAUUAAUGUUAUUCUUGUACAUGUUUUAUAUUUAUUGCUACAACUUUUUUUCUGGGGCAUGGUAAACCUCUGAAAAUUAAAAAAAAUAUUCCAUC